rnacentral:lncRNA from 1 species
ACAUAGGGUGAGAAACGGAGGCCUUCAGCCAACAGCUGGGAGAAGCUGAGUCCCAUCAGCCAUUCAAAAGACUGCAGCCCCAGCCAAGAGUUUGAUGUAACCUCAGGAGAGACCCUGAGCCAGAACCACCUAGAAAUCUCCAAGUGAGAAGACCUUACUUGUCUUCUGAAAGUCUGAAAAGCUGGGAUACAUGAAGACUGCCAUCCCUUGAGUCACUUGCCCUGUAGCUGCCACUGUUGGAAAAGGGCUUGCUUCUGUGUCCUUGUGCCCACUUUGAAAAUCCCUGGGAAGUCCUUGGAGUCAGAUGAGCAGGCCUCCGCCACUCUGCCAAAAAGUCUGUUCAGAAGUUUCACAUCACUAGAGAAGAGAGAAGAAGGACAUUUGUACUGGGAGGAGUCGACCGGUCCCAGUAAGGAGAAAGUAGCUACAGCGUCAUGGGUGAGCUGGGUCCCCCAAAAAGGAACUUUAAGGGAAUGGACUGAAUCAAGUCUGAGAUGUCCCCAAAGCAAGACCAAAGAACUGAGGAAGAGAAGCAUUCAUCAGAAACCAAAAUUCAGCUACAAGUGAGCAUCCAGAUGGAGGUAUUAUGAAGAGGAACUGAGACUGAGGGCAAAAGGUGCCAGCCAGAAUCCUGGAUAGGAGAGCAAGAACCAGGACCUCAUUUAAGAGACAACCUGCUUAAGGCAGAGUAAGCACAAAUGGGCACUCAACAUCAAUGAAGUAACAGCAAAGUCACAUAAUAAAAGCAUGGAAUUAAGACAAGCUGAAGAUUCGGAUGCAAUAAAACAACCACCCAUUAUUAUCUCAGUGGUUACUGUGCCUCA